UCAUAUCCUUUGUCUUUUGGCUAAGAUCAAGUGUAGUAUCUGUUCUUAUCAGUUUAGUAUACUGAAUUCUUAGAAUUAAAUAAGCUAGAGAAAAUAA
ensembl:snRNA U2 U2 spliceosomal RNA